AUCAAGCUGACAAGUCUCAAAUAGGACGAAGCGCGCGUCCUGGAU
rnacentral:hammerhead_ribozyme from 1 species